CUAGCCGUAAACGAUGGAUACUAGGCGUUGUGAGUAUCGACCCUCACAGUGUCGUAGCUAACGCGCUAAGUAUCCCGCCUGGGGAGUACGCGCGCAAGCGUGAAACUCAAAGGAAUUGACGGGGGCCCGCACAAGCGGUGGAGUAUGUGGUUUAAUUCGAUGCAACGCGAAGAACCUUACCAGGACUUGACAUGUCGCGAAUCUCAGGGAAACUUGAGAGUGCCUUCGGGAGCGCGAACACAGGUGGUGC
rnacentral:rRNA from 1 species